rnacentral:rRNA from 1 species
GAUCCUGGCUCAGGACGAACGCUGGCGGCGCGCCUAACACAUGCAAGUCGAACGGAGUUUACAGGCAGAAGUUUUCGGAUGGAAGCUUGUAAACUUAGUGGCGGACGGGUGAGUAACACGUGAGCAACCUGCCUAUCAGAGGGGGAUAACGAUUGGAAACGAUCGCUAAUACCGCAUGACAUAGCGGAACCGCAUGGUUCUGUUAUCAAAGAUUUUAUCGCUGAUAGAUGGGCUCGCGUCCG